GUUCCUUCCACAGUCCCCUCCUGCACGGUGUCCUCCCUCUGCACCCCGGCCAUCACAGAGCCAUCCCAGUGCCAGAAGCCCCUCAGACACUCCCAGCUCUCCUCUCCAUCUCCAGGGAGCACAGGGACUGUUCACACCUCCAGGAUUCAUGCAGGAUGGUUGCCAUUGUGGGCUACCUGACACAUUUUUACCUUGCCCCACUCUCUGGUUCCUCUUGCCUCAAUUGCCAUGGAUUCUCUCCUGUGCUCCCCAGCCUGCAGCUUAUUUUGAAGAUUUAACUGGAACUUCUGCAGUACACUUGUUUCAUAUCAACCCUCUCUGCAGGGAGGAAUUUUGUCCAAGUCAGGCUCUGAUUAGGUCAAUUCUUGUGACGAAGUUAUUCCCGCAAACCCACAAUUACUGUUAGGCUGAGUUUUCUGGAAAAAGAGAUUUCUUUGCAUGUUGUCUGACCAUCCCACUGCAGGACUGAUGCGUGUUGGUAUGUGUAGAGAAACAGAUAUACUGCUGUGGGAAAUGAAUACUGGGAUCAGAAGAAGCAGGAAACCGUAUACAGAGAAAGGUCUACCUACAUUACUUUUUAAACAAGAUUUGGGUCUUUAUGGUGAUCAAUAAGGAAGAUCUUGUGCAGAAGUUAUUUGGCUCCCAGAGGUCUGGAUUUGAGAGCAGAGGAUGACUCCUACAAAAUAAUUCUACCUGAGCACAAAAAGGCUCCUUUCCUACCCAAAGAAAGCAGAAGAAUUUGCUGAUUCACAAUGUGGAUCUCUACAGGGCUAAACCAGGAAAUCAAGUGAUGGGAAUUACAUAAAUCAGCUGAAAUUCAUAGAGUCAUAGAAUGGUUUGAGUUGGAAGAGACCUUCCAGAUCAUCUAGAUCCUCAAGUUCCAACACCCCUGCCAGUAGCAGGGACCCCAUCCACUCAGCCAGGUUGCUCAGGACCUCAUCCAGCCUGGCCUUGAACACUUCCUGGGAUGAGGCUUCCACAAUAUUUCUGCACAACUUGUUCCAGUGCCUCACCAUCCUUGAAGAAUUUCCUACCUGUGUGUGAUAAAGACUAUUAGUGGAUUAAAAUGUCAAUGGCACACCAUGCAAUGACUUCUUCACAAACCUUAUUCCUACACCACUAAACAGCAAUUCAGCAGAAUUUGUGUAUAUCAUCAAACAUUAACUUAUUGCCAGCUUUCCAAGACAAGAAAACGUUGUCAUAAUGGGCACUGCUACAGACACAGACUGUAUGGACAUAAAAAAAACCAUGGGGAUAAUUAAGCUAUGUUGGUGUUUUAUCAGUUUUUACUGGUGCUACCAGAAUCUGCAGAAACUAUUUUGGGAAAAGAAAGACUGAAUAAUUUUAGGCUUUUCUGAAAUUUAGGGUGUGUUAAUUUUCAUUUAUGGCACUGUGGCUCUUGGCUUCUCUUGAUUAUUAUAUAUUUAAGAUUGUCAUCACUGUCAGAGUAAACAAGUGACCCAAUUCAGCUUGAUCUUCACCUUUCACCCACGUAAAAUUUCAAAAGGAGACUCAUUGUUUUUGCAUGUGUCGUAACCCUGUAAUUAUGAAGAAAUUCAGUAGCAAAUUACUUCCAUGGCUUUUCCCCUCCAUUCUCAGCAGUUGAAAGCAUUCCUUCAAGAGACAUCAAAUAGUCUCAAUUUCCCUGUUCUUUUGAGGAUACCAUGCUAAUGAAAAUAUACAUGAAAGAUUUUUUUCUGAGAGAGAAAAACUGUUAAAGUCGGUAGAAGUAAAUAGUUCCACAUUAAUAGUUACAUUUUAGCAUGCAUUCCUUUUAUUUCUCACCACCUUGUUAAUGUUGGAAAGGUGCUCACUGGGGAACAUCUCAUAACUUUGAAGAAGAUCCUGAUGCACAAAAAGUGUCAAAUCAUGUAUUACAGUAGUUUUGCUAGGUUGCUAGAGCCAAAUUGUCAUAUAUUGUAGUUGCUGUCAUAGCUUGGGGAAAUAGUGGGGAAAAAAUACUUGACCAAAUUACAGAACAUGUAAAUAUAUGUCCUGUGAAAGAAGUGGUGAAACUUGAUUCCUGUCUCUACAAUAGUCUAUCAACCACCAAAAGAAAUUAACCUAAACUUAAAUGUAUAGGUUAGGAAAUAC